rnacentral:rRNA from 1 species
ACCCGCUGAACUUAAGCAUAUCAAUAAGCGGAGGAAAAGAAACUAACAAGGAUUCCCCUAGUAACGGCGAGUGAAGCGGGAAGAGCUCAAAUUUAAAAUCUGGCAGUGUAUUCUGUCCGAGUUGUAGUCUAGAGAAGCAUCAUCCGUGCUGGACCAUGUACAAGUCUCUUGGAACAGAGCGUCAUAGAGGGUGAGAAUCCCGUCCUUGACAUGGACUCCCAGUGCUUUGUGUUGUGCUCUCAACGAGUCGAGUUGUUUGGGAAUGCAGCUCAAAAUGGGUGGUAAAUUCCAUCUAAAGCUAAAUAUUGGCGAGAGACCGAUAGCGAACAAGUACCGUGAGGGAAAGAUGAAAAGCACUUUGGAGAGAGAGUUAAACAGUACGUGAAAUUGUUGAAAUGGAAACGCUUGAAGUCAGUCGCGUUCUCUGGGAUUCAGCCUUGCUUUUGCUUGGUGCAUUUCCUAGUCUACGGGCCAGCAUGAAUUUUGACCAAUGGAAAAAGGCUGGGGGAAUGUGGCACCUUCGGGUGUGUUAUAGCCCCUUGUCACAUACGUUGGUUGGGAUUGAGGUCUUAGUGCACGCCUCGGUUGUGCUUUGAUGCUGGCGUAAUGGCUUU